rnacentral:rRNA from 1 species
UAAAAUUUAAGGUAGGUUUUGCCCUAUGAUUUAUUUUAAAUGGCUGCAGUAUCUUGACUGUGCAAAGGUAGCAUAAUAAUUAGUUUCUUAAUUGGGGACUGGAAUGAAUGAAUUAAUGAAGAAUAAGUUUUAUUAGUUUUAUUAUUAGAAUUUAAUUUUUUAGUUAAAAAGCUUAAUUUUUUUUUUGGGACGAUAAGACCCUAUAGAACUUUGUUGAUUUAGUUGCGAUUAGAUUUUUGGUUUAUUAUUUUUUAAGAUUUUCUUGAUUAUUUUAUUGGGGUGGUAGGUAAAUUUUCACUUUACUUUAAUUAUUCAUUUAAUUUAUGUUUUUUUGAUCCUUUUGUUUGGAUUUUAAGAUAAAGUUACCUUAGGGAUAACAGCGUAAUUUUGAUGGAAAGUUCAUAUUUAUAUUGAAGUUUGCGACCUCGAUGUUGAAUUAAGAUAAAUUUAUGGGGUAGGUUCUUUAAUUUUAAGUCUGUUCGACUUUUAAAAUCUUACAUGAUCUG